AGAAAAUUUAGACAAAUUGUCAUAACUCAACAUUAUCAUUCCCUCCUCGAAUUAUUGAUGAAUUCCCCAGUGAAAUACGUCAACCGUUCGUCAGGCAUUUCUUCUAACCUGACGAUUCCACGUGUUGUGGUGUUGUAUCUAAGCAACGAAACGUCGUCGACGUCUUGAGACGAAGGCCUUUGCACCUGUCACCAAAAAUUUCGUCUGAAAAUUAUUUAUUCCCCAAAAAUUACCUCAUUAAAUAACUCGACACUGCCUCCCCCUGGAAACCUCAUUAAUUAAACAUUUCUUCACAAUAUGUGGAUAAGUAUUACUUCUCAGGAGGUUGAAAUCAGUUUCGAUAAUUGUUGAGGCAAAAUGACGUUGAAACUGAAGGAAAAAAUUUGUGACUAUUUACGACUGGAGAAUAAUGGCAGCAAAAGGAUUCUGUGUAAAAAUAGAUUUCGAUUUGCAAGCAAUAACGUGUCCUGGAGUCUGGCUCUGUCCAAAUGGCACAGUAGCCCUUCGUAUCAACGCCUUCAACUCCCACAUUCAGUCCCGGAAGACAACUCCAAUAUUUCCCCUUCUGUUUAACGAUAAAUUUUUGUUCAGAAAAAUAUUCCCAGGUGUGUGCAGUCUCAGUGAUCUCCAAUGUUGUUUGGAGAAUGAAUUUAUUUAUGCUGAGUUGAUUCAGUGGCCAUCGGUGGGAUGUAAGGGCGUGAUUUUGGGUACCUUUGAGACUAAUCUGGUGGACCUACUGUAUCCGGUUCCUUGUUUCAAGGGCCUGUUGUCCGGGACUGAUGUGGAUCUCUUAAUGGAAUGCAGUAAAUAUUUUCCGGGCAUCAUAGCUCCAAAAAUCGAAAUUUCCACGAGAACUGUGAUCGAGGAAGUCGUGGGAAUUCGCGAUUCGGAUAUCGCUGGAUCACAUGUCAUAAACCCAAAGUUAAUUAACUCAAAGGGACGUCCUUGUGUUCAUCGAAAAAAACCACCAGUGGGUAUAGUACGACAGAGAAAGGUGUGUCACAGCCAGGGAAGACCAAAGUCUCCAUCGACCCGCUGCCAGCAUCACCAUCACCACUACUGCCUCACCGACUCCCUGCUCGUCUCCUCGAGGACUAAAAAAUCGGAAAGUCAUGUGAACCAGUGCUACCAGAAUACGAACAAGUCAUCGAAGUCUUUGAGUCCAGGUCCUUGUCGAAGAGUUCUCGAAUCCUCUGCUCUUCAUCAUCGAUACCAUGAUCUUGACGACUGUUCUGUCUGUGUCAAGUACAGAACGCUGUUCCCAAAGAAAUCGAAUCAUGAGAAUAUCUGUCAGGGCGACUCCGAUACUCGUAAAGAAGCUAUUUACGGUGUUUGUGAUGUUUCCAACUGCACUGAACACGCCUCGUCAAAAUCAACUUCUUCUUUGUACGUAGAAAAAUGAAAUGUCCAUCUGAUGAUCGGUCGGUCCCAAUGAAGCGAUUUUUUUUCUGUUUAGAGUGAGACAUGUCAAGAGAACUCCAGAGAAUGAGGAAUCUUCAGAGAUGUUCCAGAUGACUAGGCGUAAAUGAGGAACGAAAAUGAUAAUAAAGAAAAAAUCAAAUUUAUUGGUAAAAAAAAAUUAUGCUAAAUUCAUUCACCAAUUUUACGUUCCUAAAUUCAACUAAUCAAUUAUACACAUUUUUCAGUUAAUAUUUGCAUUAUUAUUUCACAUGAAAAUGCUAAACGUAACAUAUCCAGCCUCCACCGAGAACAAUUUUGUUCCACAUUUUUUUUUAAUUCCAAUACUUUAUUCCCACGGAAUUGAUUUAAAACUCAACUUUUGGUUCUGUUCUUUUUCUCAUGCUGAGUGAUGUAUUAAGUGCAUACAACGUAUUCUAGUAAUGAUCAUGGUAAUUAAUAAUAAUAGUUAAGUUCCCUGGUUCGUAGCACGCGCCUUACCGCAUGGUAAUGAUUGCCGAAAUGAACUAAUAAUCAGUUGUAACGCAGUGUAAUGAGUGAGUGAGUACAUUCUGAACGUUUACAUAUUCAUUAUGACUCUAUCAAAGUCUUUAAAUAUUUUUCUCAUCUCAUUGAACAUCACCUUAUAUUAAACAAUUAAAUUAAUUUUCCGAAAAUCAA